AAUCCAUAGGUUAAUGAGGCGAACCGGGGGAACUGAAACAUCUAAGUACCCCGAGGAAAAGAAAUCAACCGAGAUUCCCCCAGUAGCGGCGAGCGAACGGGGAGGAGCCCAGAGCCUGAAUCAGCAUGUGUGUUAGUGGAAGCGUCUGGAAAGGCGCGCGAUACAGGGUGACAGCCCCGUACACAAAAGCGCAUGUGCUGUGAGCUCGAUGAGUAGGGCGGGACACGUGGUAUCCUGUCUGAAUAUGGGGGGACCAUCCUCCAAGGCUAAAUACUCCUGACUGACCGAUAGUGAACCAGUACCGUGAGGGAAAGGCGAAAAGAACCCCGGCGAGGGGAGUGAAAAAGAACCUGAAACCGUGUACGUACAAGCAGUGGGAGCCCCACCACCAAAGCAUUUGCUGUACCGCGUUGACGGAGCGAAGCGACGUCAAACCGAUAAAACAGCAGUGUAAAGUGAGCCGCAGGGCGCUUUGCGCGACAGCGCAAAGGCAGGCGGUUUCGCGUAGCGAAAGCGAAUGCUUUGGGGUGGGGUGACUGCGUACCUUUUGUAUAAUGGGUCAGCGACUUAUAUUCUGUAGCAAGGUUAACCGAAUAGGGGAGCCGGA
rnacentral:rRNA from 1 species